AUGAACUUUCAGCUGCUGCUCCUGUUGGCCCUGGUUGGCCCUUUCUGUGCCUUCACACGUGCAAGCCCCACUGAGCUCCCCUCAACUGAUGGAAUGACUAUCUCAGUAGCAUACAUCACCCCUGAUGCCACCGAGGCUUCAGAUCCAGAGUUGACCGUUGUGACUGAACCUGCUCCAACCGAGCCUGCAGCAGCCCCUGAAGAAGUCGCAACAGAGGCUACCACCGAGGGACCCCCUCCCAACACUCCAGUCAUUACAGAGGAGCCCGUUGUUGAGACAGAAGCUCCUGUUGUUUCUACUGUAGCGCCAGAACCCCAAGUUACUGACAGUGAGAUCAUAGCCACCACUGCGAUUGUAGAACCUGAGCUGGUGCCUGACGUAGCAGAGGAUGUCAAUGAAGAGGCAGAGGAAGUUGUUUUAGAGGAUGACACAGAAGAGGGUCUGAGCCCCGGCCAGGUUGUCGGCAUUGUGAUUGGCGCCCUGUUGGCAGUGGUGAUCGUCAUCGCCGUGGUGAUUGCUGUGGUGAGGAGGAUGGGCAGAUACUCGUCUGCCAAGAGCAAAAAACCUGCCAAAAAAGACAGCAUUAUGGUUUCUCCCUUGAGGAAAAAGCCAUCCAAGCAGCAGGGGCGCGCAAAGUUCUGGAAAUUCUGAACUACUGAACUGUGACGUUAUUUCUGAUCAUUAAACCAGCGCGAAACCAGAACUAAACCAAUCUAACCAGGACUCUGGACAAUUGCCAAAAAAGAGAGGGGGAGGGAGGAUUGUGUGUGUUAAUGUAUAUAGUGCAUGUAUGUGAGAAAAGAGGGGUACAUGAGCCAACAUCCUCACCUCCCCCGCUACCUCCCCUGAUCCCUGUGGGAGCUCCCCCCCACUAACCCCUUGAAGAGAACAAAACAAGGUGACAGCAGGAUGUCACAAUGAAUUUCAGGGCUUUUCAAAUACAUUUUGUAGAAAAAAAGAGAGAAUAAUGGGAUUAUCUGGCAUCUAAAGGAGGCAUUCUCUCCUUUAAAGUGAUGUAGUGACUGACAAAAGCAAAAUAUACCAAAUACAGUAAAAGGAGGCUGGGACUAGGACAGAAAUCAGGAAAUACUGUUGCAAAUUCCACAGGAUGUAUAUAGAAUGCAAAGGGACUACAUAGUAUACAGCUAUUGACUUCCUCAUAUUGCAUUUUGCAUAGGCUAGCAUUUGAUAUUAUGAAAUACGCAGUAUGUACAGGCAGCCUUAGGCUAUUGUUGUGGCUAUUAAACACCCCUGAGCACCAGUUCAAACAUUUCUCAUGUAGCCAGAAUCCCUGAUAUGUUGGCCAACUGUAUGAAGCUCUGUGUGCAGAAGUUGUUCUGACAUAACUCUCCGAGGGACAGCUGAAAAGAAAAGGCACCCUCGUUUGCAAGAGUAACGUGACAUUCUGCCCGCUUUAACACUGACGUAUAAAAAACCUAAUACAUAUCUGUGAAAUUUAGCAGAAGGGUUUGUGCCACUGUCUCUGGUGUUCUCUUGCUAGCUAGGAGGAUUUCUAACUUUUGAAGUGCAUUAUUAAUGUGAAUGGACUGUACUUUUUAACUGCCACCCAUUCCAAAAAAAAGGCCCGUCUGUUACAAAGGCUUCCACAGUGCCAGUGGUUUCUAGACAUAAUGAUAGCAUUGUCAUUGACAAUGUAUUCACACUACUUCUGUUAAUAAUUAGAUCACCAGAACAGCCAUCCAGUUUUGUCAAUUGCGCUAAUCCCAGAUUGCAUGCACAGGACGUUUCAUAGUGGCACUUAGCUCUUAGUGCACCGUGUUAGGCAGUUUAUUUUUGUAAGUGUGCUAAAUGGGUGUACAAAUAAUGAAGUCUCAGCUUACCCCUGCUUGCUUUACAAACGUGUUUAAUAUGUGCACUGAAUGAGUGUUGUAAUGUUUAAUGAGUAGGCUUUAGACACUGCAAAUGUUUGCAACGAGAUGUGUUUGUUUCCCUUCUGCUUUGUCACAUAUUAUCACUUCGUCCAAACCUUUAUUUAAUUGCAGUGUUUUUGUUCAUACUGUUUAAAUAAAAAAACUGAAAACAAU
rnacentral:lncRNA from 1 species